UCAUCCUUGAUACGUUUACCCUAACCGGUAACGGAUGUCCCUCUAUCAGAGUAUAUUACCUCCCUACCCAGUAAUCGAUAAUAGAUAAUAUCGGGUACUCUUGUGUUGAAGAUUAUUCUUCCCUAGUUGAGUUUGAGUGCGUAUUUCCUUAGUGGAAUCGCAUUUUUCCUGUUUGGUCCGAGUAUUUCAGCCUCGUUCUGAUUUACCCGUUUCCCCUGCAGAUUUUCCCUCAUCCCAGACUGGGUUCUUCCAUUGAUUUAUUUUCAUAGAAAUUCCCC
rnacentral:lncRNA from 1 species